AUCUUUUAUUGGUUGACGUAAGACUGCCAUUGAAAAUGAUAAGACAACAUUUACACUCAGAAAACUUACGAAGCACUUUAUGCAGAACGCUAAACGAGGGAGCGGCGACAGAUCGAUCUGACACGAGCGGUUCCCGGCGUUCAUCCUCGUGUCGCUUGUCAGUGUUGUUGGAUUGCUGACGAACGAUGGGAGCGGCGCUUUGAUCCUUGUGAAAUGCCCCGGCAAUGGAAGUGGUGUUGCCGAAGAAACCAGUCCAAAGGAUCAGUAAAAGUAUCACCAAAAUGAAAAUGACCGAAGCAGUGAUCGUUGCGAGACGAUACGAGAUGGUUGACACAGAUCAGGGAAAUCAGAGAAUUCAGGGAAAAGACAGGAAAAAUGAAAUUGGUCAAGGAAAUCAGGGAAAUAUCAGGAAAUUCUAUCAAAAAUUCUGGAAGAAUAUCAAAUUUCUAGAAUGACUACAAUAUAUUAUUCUGAUUCGGAGGAGAAAUUGAUUUAUUUCGAUCAGAUGCGGGGAAAAAAUCUUGUCUCAGAUAUGAAAUAUGGUAAAUGUGGUAAUUAAGCGAAGGAUAAGGAUCUAUCAUUCAUCUUAUGUAACAUUAACCUGAGAAAGCAGAGGUGCCGAUAGAGAGUGAAUGUUCACUUCCCUUUUUUUUUACAUAAACGACUCAGAAAUAGAAUGUCUAACUGGAUUGAACUCGGGAUUUGACCUCUUCUUCUUAAGUAAAAUAAAUCGGGAGACGUCGUGAUGUCUCCCCUCCUUAAAAGGCGGGUUAAAUUAUUAUGUGCUUGAAUGCUGACCGGAAUUUGAAGAGCUAGAGACAAAAAAGAGCACAAGAGCAGUUUACAUAGUAACCCAAUCAGGAAGAAUUGCUGAAUGAGUCAGAGACAAAUUGUCUACCAUUUCUGUUAGUCUUCAACUGCUAUAUACUUUCUCGCACUUCGAUUUCCUUUGUCAAUUAUCUUCUUAAACCUCCAGUUGUUCCGAGGUCAAAAGCUAAACUCAAAAGGUCACCAUAUGCAGUGCAAGAAGACGAGGCGAACUUUUAAAAAACAAACCAAGUUGAUAAAAGAAUUGGAGUGUUCGAUGAAAGCUCAAAACCAGACUUUGAGAGAGAACAAGAGUCAAAUCAGACAUUUAAAAAAAAUGAGAAGACGAAUCGAGUAGUGAGAUUGGAGUAGAUUAUCAUGUAGUAUACAAGUACGUGUAUAAAUAACACAAUAUCUAGAGAUAAAAGGAGAAUUCUGCAGGCGUUCGCGUUCAGAAAUGGAAAAGAAAUUGUACGAUUGGCGCCAAACGUUUCUGGGACCCGGAGGUCAUCGAAUUGGAAAAGUGGAUGAUGCCUUCAGGAUACUAUAUCUUUUCAAAACUGUCAAAAAAAAAGAGAAGAAGAAGAAGAGGAAAAAAUAUCGCACGAUUAUCAUAUACUGAUUCAUGAAUAAAAGCUUGAGGAACGACAGGACUUUCAAGAUCAAUUAUACGGCUGUUACACCAUAACCGGCUAUGCAGAUGCAUCCUCCAUGUUGCAGGGAUGCUCUGUAUGAUGCUCUUUACUCGUUGUGGCAUGCAUGUCAGUUCUUGGAAGCACUUCGGGUCAAGAUAUUUAAAUAUUUACGAGGCGUCAAAAAUUUUGUGGUCCACUCCACGAGAGCUCUUUUACUUGAAUUGAAAACCUGAUAAAAUCAAAGCCGCACAAAAAAACAGACACGAUUUCUUCACUUCGAUUUUUUUCGUAAUCGGAAAAAUUGAUUGAUGGAUGCAUUUUAUCAAAUAUAAAGGUGAAGAAACAAGUGGUACUUUUGAAACAAGGAAGGGAACAAUAUCUCAUUGUCGCCUAGUUCACAUUUAUUUAAAUUUGACAUACGCAUCUGUAAGUUUGCUGAAUAGUGUUUCAUAAUCCGGAAGAUAUUUGCGUAUACUUAGAGAGAAGAAAGAAGAGAAAGAGAGACGAAGAAGAAAAAUGAAAAGGAGGAUAGAAAAAAGAAUAAAAGAAGCCCACACACUAUCAGUUUUGUCUUAUGCAAAUAAUGUAAAUUGUGUACGAACAAAAAAAAAUAUUGAGGAGGGAGGAUACGAUCUUUGCGUACGAAAAGAGAUAUGGCACUACUGGCAUUGACGACCCACGUUUUUCUUAUUCAGUCUCAAUAUAUGAAGUGACACGUUGACAACUCUUUUAAUUUAAAGCUGAUUAGACCACGAAAUUUUUCUGGAUUUUUUCUUGGAGCGAGGGAGGAAGAAAGAAUGAAUGAAAUUUGAUGAAAAAAGUACGAUAAAGAAGUUGUUACCUUCUGCCUCAGAGUGGGUGAGUGGAGAACGUAAAUUACAAAAGCUGCACCUUCACAAUCUUGGCGAACGUACUCGGAAGAAUCGAAGGAAGACGUGCGAGAAUACAAGGAUGCAAAAGAGGGUUGAGGAGGAGAAUCUACCAGUUCGCAAGGAAAGAAAACUUAAAUAUUUCAAUAAAUUACUUAAAAUUUAUAAUUUCAAUCUAAAUUUCAAAAAAGGUGGAAAUUCUUUUUUCAAAAUUUAAAAGGAGCAGAAUUUUACAAAAAUCGACUCAGAAAUUUGAGAAAAAGAAAUUCAAAAUACUUGAGAAAAAGUAUUAAAAAAAUCUGGAAGUCAAAGGAGAAUUAAAAAAUUGAAAAUUUAAGAAAGAGGAAUGACAGGAAAAAUUACAACACUUUUUUGGAGAACCAAAAAAAAAAACUUGGAGAACAAGGGGGUUGAAAUGAAGAAUCUCGAUGAUGUUGAUUUUCUUUCGCGCACUUUUUAAUUUUUCACACUCGGCGUUGUUCUUCUUCCUUGUAUGUUUCUUAAACUACAAUGGGGUUGGAGAUUCUUCCUUCUCAGUGGACAUGGAAGAAGAAACUAAUGAAGAAAGGCACGAGCGGAGGUACAAGCCGGACGAACGAAUGAACGAAUAAGUGAACGAACGAAGGAGCGGACAGCGAUCUCGCCUUCGCGACACGUUUUCCCCCACUCAGGAUUCUCCUCUAUACACCAACCAUGCACGCAACCUCUCCAAGUCAGGGCCGUUCCAAUGCGAUUUUGAUUGUCGUUGUUUCAAUUUAUUGAAAACUAGUAUAGAUUUUAUUCAAUUGCAAUGGGAAAAAAGGAAAAGAGAAGGAGUUUGUCUUUGAAUAGAGGGUAGAAACUGUGUGGCGAGGAAUUAAAUUCCCGCGUUGAUGCGAGGAAUCAGGAGGAUCGCGAGGUGGAGAAAAAAUGUGCCAGUGAAAGGAAAAUUGAAGAAAUGCGAGAGAUGUGAAGAAAUUCAAGGGUAACGAGACAAGAAAAGAAUUUGAGGAACUGGAGGAAGAAAAAUGAGUGCAAAAAAGGGUGUUUUUUUCUCUAUUCUUGUAAUUUUCUUUCUCCUUUCUGCUAAAUAAUUAUUGGGAAUUGAAGAAAAGUGCAAGAAAAUAGAAACGAAGAAAACAGAGGAUGAAAUUGAAAAAAAUGCAAAUAAACGAGAAAAAAUUAUUUUAAUCCGGAUUUAGUCGGUUUAUCGCAUUUUGCAAAUUAACUAUAUUUUGACAGAAAAAUAUUGACUAUAUUUAUACAGAAAGUUUAUUCAGAAAAAGAAUAUAAUCAGAGAAAUAUAUGAGCUUGAAAAGAAUCAAGAAAAUUGUCCCAAAAGCAAAUAACCAGAAAUGAUUCUCUAAUAGAAAAGAAAUGUGAAACUAGAGUAAAGUGUGAAGAUAAAAAAAAGGACCAAGGACUAAAAACCAGUUCGUAAACAAAAGAAAUGAAUCUGGGAGGAAUAUUCUUGGAAGAAGUGGAUAAGUUUCAUAUAUAUGUUAUUUAAAUCAGUAAAGAUGAAAAUGAAUAAGAAAGAGGGUUCAUGCGCCUGUUCCUGAGAAGAUGAGUUAAAUUUCUCGAGAGAGUGAAGAGAGGGAAUGAGAGAAUCAGAGAACUAAGGAGAACUUAUGAAUGAAACGGAAUAUCCUGAACGUCAUAGGGUUUUAAAAUUGCUGCCGUUAAUGUCAGUGUCCCGAAAAUUCGCAGUGGUAGCAGAUCUUCUCCCAGUUAUUCCAGUCAUUAACCUUUCUUACUUACACACAUAAAUCUGUAUGGAAGAAACGAACUUUACGGGACUUUAAUAAUGGGGGAUGAGUCAAGACUGUAAAAAUACAGACAGAGGAAGUGGAAUUUUUCUUUCGAGAACGAUUUUCAAAUGUUUCGGAGAGCAGAGAUCAGAGCAAACAAAUUUUUUCUAAAAAGGUAUUUUAAAAAUUAAAAAUUAAAUAUUGCAAAGGGAAAAAAUAUGAAAAAACUGAAAUUGAAAAGUAUUGCAAUCGGACAAUUAGAAAAAAAAGAAGACGAAUUCGACAGAAAUUUUGGUUUAAAGGUAAUAAUUUCUUCUUGCGGUAAAUUUUUUCCGAAAACUGAAAAUAAUGCAUUUUCAGUUAUAUUUUAUGCAUUUAAAAAAAAAAUUAAAAAAAAGAACUGUAUAAUUUCGUUCCACCAGGAAAUAACCGAGAGGGAAUUCGGUUCAAGAAAAUUAGUAGACGUGAGUUACAUUUACCAUCAAAUUUGACGAAAGUCCAAAAUUUAUAUUAUUUCAAAAAGAAAGAUGAAUUUAUAUAAUUCGAAUAAUUAUUUAAAAAUUAAUAAAUUAUUUCUAUUAUUAAUUCAAUUUAUUCAAUUAUUAACGGGACAAUUCAAGAAAAUUAGUAGACCGUGAGUUAAAUUUACAAACUUUG